AGCCUACCCUAAUAAUUGUUAACCUGGUAUCACAGGACGCUGGUGCAGCAUUGCUCAGUGCAAACACAACACACACGUACACUCAUCAGUUCUGAUCUGUUUGAUUGUCAGCUGGUUAGUAACAUAGCAAGCAGUUACGCAAAUCUGAUGCCAAGAUGAGCAAUACAUCGUCUGAGACCGACGUGGACUUCACAAUAGAGAAGUUAAAGAGGAAAUACUUGGGGCCAAGGGAACUGCUUUCAUCAGACAUUAGAACUGGGGGUACAAUCUGUCAUUCUAAUGAACCUCCUACAUCGACGGUGACAUCCUCCUCCAAAGUCAAAAGCCCCCACAGAGGCCUGAGAGGUUACAAAACGGCUCUAAGAGAACUGUUCAAAGCAGUCACCCUCACACCCCUGCCCGAAAGGCUGGACAGUGAUGGUGUUAUGAGUAGCAGUGCUGAGGACCUCAGUAUGGACUACAAAACCUGCCCCCUCCUGGACACCCUGGUGCAUUACACGGAGACAGAUGUGACCCUUCCCUCCAGCCUAGCCAGUAGCCUGGGCUCCAGGGAGACCGAGCCUGUGCUUGGGAUGGCCAGAGAGGAGCAGGGGAGAGGGCUAAGGGAGCAACAGCCACAGUCCUACUCUCUCCUCUCCCCCACCCCUGAUAUGGGACAGGUGUGCCAAGAGAUGCUGGUCAUCUAUCAACAGUUGAGAGCUGAGAGGGAGAGCCAGCAGCAGUGGCAGAGAGAGCUCCAGGAGAGAGAGAACCGACUGCUCCAGAAGGAGCUAGCUCUCAGCAGGCUGCGAGGGGUGGAGGAGGAAGUACACGCACACAUCCUGGAAGUUCAAGAGAAACACCAGCGUGAGGUGAGUGUACUGCAGGAGCUGCUCAGGGAGCGGGCCAAGGAGAACAGGAGGCUCAAGUCCAGCUUCGACACCAUCAAGGAGCUCAACGACACCAUGAAAAAACAGCUGAAUGAGCUCUGCGAGCACAACAAGAGGCUGGAGGGCCAGUCCAGGAAGGUGCAAGCCCGGCUGGAGAACCUACAGAGGAAGAACGACUACUCGCUGGCUCUGAGAGGUCGAGAGAACGUUAGUGUGAAGAUGGCGGAGACCAGGGCUGCCAAACAAGAGAAGUCAGCCAGCUCAUCUAAAACAAAGAAGGGCUGUAUAGGUCCCGCCCCUGUCAGGCUCCUGGCUCUGCUAUUGGACUGGGUUGUUGAUGGACAGUCCUUCCCCCCAGCAGCAGGAGACAGAGAGGCGGUCCUAGACCUCCCUCUGGUUGUCUCGCUCCACGAGAGGUGCUCCAAGGUGUUGCCUCUGUUGGUAGAGCAGCUUCAGCUGACCUCAGGGUCAGAUCCUUCCCUCAUCCUGCCCCUCCUGCGCUUUACCUACCAGGCCCUCCGCCAGCUGGACAACACCACACAGCCCGUGACUCUGUGUUCCACCCUGCGGCGUUUGGGAGAGGAGGUGUCCCGGCCCACAGCUCUCCAGCCUAGCGGCCCCCAGGACCCCAGUGGGGCCCUCAGGCCCAGGGGCCCCCCUCGGACCGCCCCCCUCUACAGGAGCCCCUGCCCCCACACCCGCCUCCUCUCCGCCCUCAUCGUCCUCAGAACCGUCACUCAGGCGGACGUGCUGGCCCAGGCUCUGGACAGCCUCCACGGUGAGCUGGCGUGCGAGGAGAGCCGGGGUCUGUUCCUGCACCACGCGGGCCUGCCUGUCCUGCUGACCCUGCUCAGGGGGGGCCGCGGGGGCCUGCACGCCCCCGUAGACAUCCUGCUCCAGCUCGCCUCGCCGUCCAGGUUCCUGAGUCGGUUCCUCGAGGCGUGCAGCAGCGAAGACUUCUUCCGCACGGCCGCCCUGCUUCUACGGAGCUCUCGUCUAGCGCUCCCCCUGCUGGAGAAACUCUCCAUCCUGCUGCAGAAGCUCUCCACCCUCAGGAAGAACAAGCGUCUGUUCGAGCUCUGCUCCCUCCACCUCCUGCUGCAGGAGAUGCUAAGGACCACAGACCCCACACACACCUUCCUUUGCCUCAACCUCAACUCCAUCCUGCUCAACCUCAAGUGACGGGGCCCAGCCACCCGUCACACCCGUCCCGCUCCGGCAGAACCACCGCCGUGCUACGGCACAAUUAGAAUCUGGAGGGCGUCAGAAACUCUCGAUGAUGACCUUUAAAAAGGUGCCUCCGUCUGCAGUCUACAUGUGUUUGUCGGCAGUAACUGUGCGUAAGAUCCACAGCCAGGAGAGGAGACUGAAGCUAAUCAUUUAUCCAUCGGAGACCCACAGUACACACACAUACACAUGACCAGAGCUGCCGGUGAGGUGGCUGUCGCCACAAUGGCUGACGUCAUGCAAAAAAUAUAUAGGUGGUAAGAGAUGAUGUAACUGGAACUCCCAUCAAUGCUCUGUAAGCAUAUCCACCUUCUACAAAGAGACCCAGUUCCCAGCUAUUUUCACCCAGAAUCUUCCCCAUUGACAGAGCAGUGAUCUUCCACGGAUCAGGUUACAUCGUUAUGCUUUCAAAACAUCAACGGAGCAUGACGGAUAGGAGCAGAACACCAGGCCCACUGUUCACAAACGCUCUCAGCGAUCUGAGCCUUGGGCCGAUGUGAGUGUCUGAGUGUAAUUCAUACAAAGAAAAUGAAGGAAACAAUACUUUCACAAUUUAUUGAUUUUUAUUUAUUUAUGAAUGCGUAUGUACAAUAAUAAGUUAUAUAUACACUUACAUUUGGUUCCAAAAAACUUUGCUUCCAUUGUUCUACUCUUGUACAAUGUGUUUCUGAGGUAAAUAAAGAAAGUCUGUACAGA